rnacentral:rRNA from 1 species
UUUAAAUUGAAGAGUUUGAUCAUGGCUCAGAUUGAACGCUGGCGGCAGGCCUAACACAUGCAAGUCGAACGGUAACAGGAAACAGCUUGCUGUUUCGCUGACGAGUGGCGGACGGGUGAGUAAUGUCUGGGAAACUGCCCGAUGGAGGGGGAUAACUACUGGAAACGGUAGCUAAUACCGCAUAACGUCGCAAGACCAAAGAGGGGGACCUUCGGGCCUCUUGCCAUCGGAUGUGCCCAGAUGGGAUUAGCUAGUAGGUGGGGUAACGGCUCACCUAGGCGACGAUCCCUAGCUGGUCUGAGAGGAUGACCAGCCACACUGGAACUGAGACACGGUCCAGACUCCUACGGGAGGCAGCAGUGGGGAAUAUUGCACAAUGGGCGCAAGCCUGAUGCAGCCAUGCCGCGUGUAUGAAGAAGGCCUUCGGGUUGUAAAGUACUUUCAGCGGGGAGGAAGGGAGUAAAGUUAAUACCUUUGCUCAUUGACGUUACCCGCAGAAGAAGCACCGGCUAACUCCGUGCCAGCAGCCGCGGUAAUACGGAGGGUGCAAGCGUUAAUCGGAAUUACUGGGCGUAAAGCGCACGCAGGCGGUUUGUUAAGUCAGAUGUGAAAUCCCCGGGCUCAACCUGGGAACUGCAUCUGAUACUGGCAAGCUUGAGUCUCGUAGAGGGGGGUAGAAUUCCAGGUGUAGCGGUGAAAUGCGUAGAGAUCUGGAGGAAUACCGGUGGCGAAGGCGGCCCCCUGGACGAAGACUGACGCUCAGGUGCGAAAGCGUGGGGAGCAAACAGGAUUAGAUACCCUGGUAGUCCACGCCGUAAACGAUGUCGACUUGGAGGUUGUGCCCUUGAGGCGUGGCUUCCGGAGCUAACGCGUUAAGUCGACCGCCUGGGGAGUACGGCCGCAAGGUUAAAACUCAAAUGAAUUGACGGGGGCCCGCACAAGCGGUGGAGCAUGUGGUUUAAUUCGAUGCAACGCGAAGAACCUUACCUGGUCUUGACAUCCACGGAAGUUUUCAGAGAUGAGAAUGUGCCUUCGGGAACCGUGAGACAGGUGCUGCAUGGCUGUCGUCAGCUCGUGUUGUGAAAUGUUGGGUUAAGUCCCGCAACGAGCGCAACCCUUAUCCUUUGUUGCCAGCGGUCCGGCCGGGAACUCAAAGGAGACUGCCAGUGAUAAACUGGAGGAAGGUGGGGAUGACGUCAAGUCAUCAUGGCCCUUACGACCAGGGCUACACACGUGCUACAAUGGCGCAUACAAAGAGAAGCGACCUCGCGAGAGCAAGCGGACCUCAUAAAGUGCGUCGUAGUCCGGAUUGGAGUCUGCAACUCGACUCCAUGAAGUCGGAAUCGCUAGUAAUCGUGGAUCAGAAUGCCACGGUGAAUACGUUCCCGGGCCUUGUACACACCGCCCGUCACACCAUGGGAGUGGGUUGCAAAAGAAGUAGGUAGCUUAACCUUCGGGAGGGCGCUUACCACUUUGUGAUUCAUGACUGGGGUGAAGUCGUAACAAGGUAACCGUAGGGGAACCUGCGGUUGGAUCACCUCCUUA